rnacentral:rRNA from 1 species
CCCAGACUCCUACGGGAGGCAGCAGUGGGGGAUAUUGCACAAUGGGGGGAACCCUGAUGCAGCGACGCCGCGUGGGUGAAGAAGUAUUUCGGUAUGUAAAGCCCUAUCGGCAGGGAAGAAAUUGGACGGUACCUGACUAAGAAGCCCCGGCUAACUACGUGCCAGCAGCCGCGGUAAUACGUAGGGGGCAAGCGUUAUCCGGAUUCACUGGGUGUAAAGGGAGCGUAGACGGCCAUGCAAGCCUGGAGUGAAAGCCCGGGGCCCAACCCCGGGACUGCUCUGGGAACUGUGCGGCUGGAGUGCGGGAGGGGCAGGCGGAAUUCCUGGUGUAGCGGUGAAAUGCGUAGAUAUCAGGAGGAACACCGGCGGCGAAGGCGGCCUGCUGGACCGUAACUGACGUUGAGGCUCGAAAGCGUGGGGAGCAAACAGGAUUAGAUACCCGAGUAC